rnacentral:lncRNA from 1 species
GGGAUCUUGGCGCUGACUUUUUAUAUUUCCAUUUAUCGUGGGACCAUUUGGGUAUUGUUGAGGGUGUUGUGGUGGGUUUCCUAUAAACACUUGUGGCGGGGCUGUUGUUCUUUAUAUGUGGAUCGGCGUCGGGAAAAUGGAUUCUGUUGUCGCUCUGUUGGUCGAUGUUGAGUUUUGGACCGUAGCUGGGUGGGGUGGGGGUGUCCUGGAGGAGUUUGGUCUGGUACUGUUGCUUCCGGGUGACGAAUGUGUCGUCGGCGUGCCUGGGGUGGGGAGUGGCCUGCGCGAUUGCUCGGUUUGCUGUUGUUCUCUCUGGGUCCCUUGGGGUGAGCUCUGCC